rnacentral:rRNA from 1 species
AGAGUUUGAUCAUGGCUCAGGAUGAACGCCGGCGGUGUGCCUAAUACAUGCAAGUCGAACGCGUUGGCCCAACUGAUUGAACGUGCCUGCACGGACUUGACGUUGGUUUACCAGCGAGUGGCGGACGGGUGAGUAACACGUAGGUAACCUGCCCCAAAGCGGGGGAUAACAUUUGGAAACAGAUGCUAAUACCGCAUAACAAUUUGAAUCGCAUGAUUCAAAUUUAAAAGAUGGCUUCGGCUAUCACUUUGGGAUGGACCUGCGGCGCAUUAGCUUGUUGGUAGGGUAACGGCCUACCAAGGCUGUGAUGCGUAGCCGAGUUGAGAGACUGAUCGGCCACAAUGGAACUGAGACACGGUCCAUACUCCUACGGGAGGCAGCAGUAGGGAAUCUUCCACAAUGGGCGCAAGCCUGAUGGAGCAACACCGCGUGAGUGAAGAAGGGUUUCGGCUCGUAAAGCUCUGUUGUUAGAGAAGAACGUGCGUGAGAGCAACUGUUCACGCAGUGACGGUAUCUAACCAGAAAGUCACGGCUAACUACGUGCCAGCAGCCGCGGUAAUACGUAGGUGGCAAGCGUUAUCCGGAUUUAUUGGGCGUAAAGCGAGCGCAGGCGGUUUGAUAAGUCUGAUGUGAAAGCCUUUGGCUUAACCAAAGAAGUGCAUCGGAAACUGUCAGACUUGAGUGCAGAAGAGGACAGUGGAACUCCAUGUGUAGCGGUGGAAUGCGUAGAUAUAUGGAAGAACACCAGUGGCGAAGGCGGCUGUCUGGUCUGCAACUGACGCUGAGGCUCGAAAGCAUGGGUAGCGAACAGGAUUAGAUACCCUGGUAGUCCAUGCCGUAAACGAUGAGUGCUAGGUGUUGGAGGGUUUCCGCCCUUCAGUGCCGCAGCU